rnacentral:rRNA from 1 species
UACAGAGGUGGCAAGCGUUGUUCGGAAUUACUGGGCGUAAAGGGCGCGUAGGCGGCCCGUCAAGUCCCGUGUGAAAGCCCCCGGCUCAACCGGGGAACGGCGCGGGAAACUAGCAGGCUUGAGUUCGGGAGAGGGAAGCGGAAUUCCGGGUGUAGCGGUGAAAUGCGCAGAUAUCCGGAGGAACACCGGUGGCGAAGGCGGCUUCCUGGACCGGACACUGACGCUGAGGCGCGAAAGCUAGGGGAGCAAACGGG